rnacentral:rRNA from 1 species
CAAUAGCGUAUAUUUAAGUUGUUGCAGUUAAAAAGCUCGUAGUUGGAUUUCGGGUAGGAUUUGCCGGUCCGUCUUUGAGAUGUGUACUGGUAAGUCCUAUCUUCUUGUCGGGGACCAGCUCCUGGGCUUCACUGUCCGGGACUGGGAGCCGACGAAGUUACUUUGAGUAAAUUAGAGUGUUCAAAGCAAGCCUACGCUCUGAAUAUAUUAGCAUGGAAUAACACGAUAGGACUCUGGCUUAUCUUGUUGGUCUGUGAGACCAGAGUAGUGAUUAAGAGGGACAGUCGGGGACAUUCGUAUUUCAUUGUCAGAGGUGAAAUUCUUGGAUUUAUGAAAGACGAACUUCUGCGAAAGCAUUUGUCAAGGAUGUUUUCAUUAA